GACGUAGGAUGCAAGCGUUUGUCCGGAAUUAUUGGGCGUAAAGAGUUCGUAGGCGGUUAUCCAAGUCUGGUGUUAAAGCCCGAAGCUCAACUUCGGCAUGGCAUUGGAAACUGGAUGGCUAGAGUGUGGUAGAGGUAUCGGGAAUUCCUGGUGUAGCGGUGAAAUGCGUAGAUAUCAGGAGGAACACCGGUGGCGAAAGCGGCGAUCUGG
rnacentral:rRNA from 1 species